GAUGAACGCUGGCGGCGUGCCUAAUACAUGCAAGUCGAGCGAACAGACGAGGAGCUUGCUCCUCUGACGUUAGCGGCGGACGGGUGAGUAACACGUGGAUAACCUACCUAUAAGACUGGGAUAACUUCGGGAAACCGGAGCUAAUACCGGAUAAUAUAUUGAACCGCAUGGUUCAAUAGUGAAAGACGGUUUUGCUGUCACUUAUAGAUGGAUCCGCGCCGCAUUAGCUAGUUGGUAAGGUAACGGCUUACCAAGGCAACGAUGCGUAGCCGACCUGAGAGGGUGAUAGGCCACACUGGAACUGAGACACGGUCCAGACUCCUACGGGAGGCAGCAGUAGGAAAUCUUCCGCAAUGGGCGAAAGCCUGACGGAGCAACGCCGCGUGAGUGAUGAAGGUCUUCGGAUCGUAAAACUCUGUUAUUAGGGAAGAACAAAUGUGUAAGUAACUAUGCACGUCUUGACGGUACCUAAUCAGAAAGCCACGGCUAACUACGUG
rnacentral:rRNA from 1 species